AGUCCUACGGGGCGCAGCAGUGGGGGAUAUUGCACAAUGGGGGGAACCCUGAUGCAGCGACGCCGCGUGAAGGAAGAAGUAUCUCGGUAUGUAAACUUCUAUCAGCAGGGAAGAAAAUGACGGUACCUGACUAAGAAGCCCCGGCUAACUACGUGCCAGCAGCCGCGGUAAUACGUAGGGGGCAAGCGUUAUCCGGAUUUACUGGGUGUAAAGGGAGCGUAGGCGGCAGUGCAAGUCAGAAGUGAAAUCCCAUGGCUUAACCAUGGAACUGCUUUGGAAACUGUGCAGCUGGAGUGCAGGAGAGG
rnacentral:rRNA from 1 species